CAUAUGUUAAUAAUACAGGCUGUAUGACUUGAAAAAUGAUCUAUGUUAGGGAUGACUUUAUGUUGGAUGAUGUGUUAGUAAGACAAUAUCUUUGUUAUACUUGACUUUAAUGUUAACAAAGUGUUAAGAAGAUAUAAGUAUUCAUUAUCUAUCUGAUAAUAACAAUUGACAGGUUAACAACACCAUAUUUUUCAUGCUUUAGACGCUAUCAUCCUCUUCAUGAAGUAUGAGUCAUCUGAUUUUGUUUGUUAAUACUCAAUAUUACUGAUAUUCUUCUUUCUGUUUUCCUGAGUGAAUCCUCCCUGAUCCCUGAUUGUUCACUGAACACAUGCACGCCCAGCAG
rnacentral:lncRNA from 1 species